rnacentral:rRNA from 1 species
GAUGAACGCUGGCGGCGUGCUUAACACAUGCAAGUCGAACGGGAAACCUUUUAUUGAAGCUUCGGCAGAUUUAGCUGGUUUCUAGUGGCGGCCGGGUGAGUAACGCGUGGGUAACCUGCCUUAUACAGGGGGAUAACAACCAGAAAUGGUUGCUAAUACCGCAUAAGCGCACAGGACCGCAUGGUCCGGUGUGAAAAACUCCGGUGGUAUAAGAUGGACCCGCGUUGGAUUAGCUAGUUGGCAGGGUAACGGCCUACCAAGGCGACGAUCCAUAGCCGGCCUGAGAGGGUGAACGGCCACAUUGGGACUGAGACACGGCCCAGACUCCUACGGGAGGCAGCAGUGGGGAAUAUUGCACAAUGGGGGAAACCCUGAUGCAGCGACGCCGCGUGAAGGAAGAAGUAUCUCGGUAUGUAAACUUCUAUCAGCAGGGAAGAUAGUGACGGUACCUGACUAAGAAGCCCCGGCUAACUACGUG